rnacentral:lncRNA from 1 species
GUCUUGUUCACCAUGACGUUCAGAUAACUUCAGAGUGAUGGUGUGUUUGUGAAGAUGUGAUCGUGGCUAGAAUCUGUGGUCGCUAUGGGAGGACUGAGGCUGGUGCUGUUCUUCCUGCCUCUGUCUGUGCUGGUCCUGCAGAUUGGGAGUUUUGAGCUACAAGACACAAUUCAUGAACUGAUAGAGGAGAACAUCCACCUUCAUGACCAGCUGGAGAACCUCACUCAAGCCCUCAGGGAUCUCAAACGCAUGCUCUGGCAUCACUCAAAUGAGCCAGACCAUCAUGAACACCACAAGCAUCAUGCUGAAGAUGUGCAGCACCUGUGGGACGAAUGGUCAGAGCACGGCAUCAGUGCAGAAACUCAUCUCCUGUUGGAACAUGCCUUUUGUGGACAUGACCUGCACAGUGCUGCUGCUGCUGCUGCUGCCCUCCGUGAAGAAACAGCCCUCCUGCUGCUGACAUUAACCAGCAUCCUCCUGCUGGUGAUGAACUGUUCGUAGGCCCCAUCAGCCUGGCAGCCGCACAACCUGAGCCAGUUUCCAACAAUAAACCCACUUUGAGACAAAGUUUCUGUCUCCGC